rnacentral:rRNA from 1 species
CCUACGGGAGGCAGCAGUGAGGAAUAUUGCUCAAUGGACGAGAGUCUGAACCAGCCAAGUAGCGUGAAGGAUGACUGCCCUAUGGGUUGUAAACUUCUUUUAUAUGGGAAUAAAAUGUUCCACGUGUGGGAUUUUGUAUGUACCAUAUGAAUAAGGAUCGGCUAACUCCGUGCCAGCAGCCGCGGUAAUACGGAGGAUCCGAGCGUUAUCCGGAUUUAUUGGGUUUAAAGGGAGCGUAGGUGGAUUGUUAAGUCAGUUGUGAAAGUUUGCGGCUCAACCGUAAAAUUGCAGUUGAAACUGGCAGUCUUGAGUACAGUAGAGGUGGGCGGAAUUCGUGGUGUAGCGGUGAAAUGCUUAGAUAUCACGAAGAACUCCGAUUGCGAAGGCAGUUCACUGGACUGCAACUGACACUGAGGCUCGAAAGUGUGGGUAUCAAACAGGAUUAGAUACCCCUGUAAUC